AGUUCCAAAGGACAUGAAGACAAAGUCACACACCUUUAUUUAACCUGCUCCAGGCUGGCCACCACAGUCCUGUCUUUUCUGCCAGAAGCAAGUCAAGUGUUGCUACAAGAACAAGUGUGAAAAACAUUUGCCUGAUUACGAUUUCUAGCACCAUGAAAGUUAUCCUUCUUAGAAAUUCCUAAGGCUCAAUGCUGUGUGGAAGAUUCUGAGAAAAAAAAUAGUUUCCGAUCUUUGGGAUUCCCGAGAUGGUCCAAUCUGCAAAAAGUUCAUUGCCAUUUCCAUCAAGGACACUGAGAACAAGAGUCUUAUCUGGAUUAGAUCCUGGGAAUUGAGAAGCUUCAGCAGGGCUUCCGCUGGGACUAGGAUCAGGAUGUGGACACCCCCAACCUGGACCGUCUGGCCGGGGAGGGCGUCAAGGCCAAGUACCUCAUGCCGCCCCUUGUCACAAUGACCUCCCCAUCCCACUUCACUGCCAUCCCAGCCACUCCCAGAGCCCCUGGAUCUCCAGCCCAAGGCUCCCUGACUGACUCCUUCCCAGAUCUUCUUGGCUUAGCAGCUGCAGACCGACACUUCCCGAUCGAACGCCUCGGAAGCCUACAGGACCAUCACAGACGCUCUAGGUUACUCUCACUGUGGAGCACAGCUUUAAAGACUGCCCCCACCCUAGUCUUGGUUCCCUGACCGGGAAGCGAGGUAAUUGACGGAAAGUCGAGGCAGCCCGUUAGGUGGCUUAGGCCUGCCCUGUGGAGCAUCCCUGCGGGGGACUCCAGCCAGCUUGAGCGACGCGGAUCCUGAGAGCUCUCCCGGGUAAGAAAUUGCCCCGGAGGAAUGCCUCGUCAGAGCAGUGUGUGGUAGGCCC
rnacentral:lncRNA from 1 species